CUUUCUCCCACUCUCACAACUUUUCUCCCACCAUUAUCACACUCCAUAGAAGCAUUUGAAGCCCCAAGAGAAGUAGCAAAGCAAGGGAGAGUGUGGGAAAACUAUAGAGUGAAGGUUGUGCUUCGAGGGUCCGGGCGACAGAAAGUGAAGCCGAAGAAGAAACGACUCCACGCCAGCUUUAAGAACAAUUGAGGUUGAGCAGGCGAUGGAAUGGAUCGGUGUUGAGCGGAUUUCCCUUUUGAUGUUUAUGUAAUGAAACCUUGAGUAUGCAUCUCCAUAUGCAUAACUCACACGUUUUUUCGCUGCAAACACUCUGACUUAUUUAUCAUUUCUACUUGAACUUAUUACUACUUCAUUUUAAUUAACUUUCAGUUGGGGUCUAGUCGUUAUGGCAGACUCAUUUGUGAAUUACCCAAGUGGUUAUAUAUAUAUACCACUAGUUUGUUAUUAA